ACCUACGGGGGGCAGCAGUGAGGAAUAUUGGUCAAUGGGCGCGAGCCUGAACUAGCCAGGUCGCGUGAGGGAAGACGGUCCUAUGGAUUGUAAACCUCUUUUGUCGGGGAGCAAAAGACGCCACGCGUGGCGUUCCGAGAGUACCCGAAGAAAAAGCAUCGGCUAACUCCGUGCCAGCAGCCGCGGUAAUACGGAGGAUGCGAGCGUUAUCCGGAUUUAUUGGGUUUAAAGGGUGCGCAGGCGGAAGAUCAAGUCAGCGGUAAAAUUGAGAGGCUCAACCUCUUCGAGCCGUUGAAACCGGUUUU
rnacentral:rRNA from 1 species